rnacentral:lncRNA from 1 species
UGUAUAUGUAUGUUUUAAGAAAAAGAUAAAAUGAUUUCAAAGGCUCUCAGAUAGCUAUGAAUGAAUCCCUUCGGGAAGGUCGACAUCCGGAGCUAGCAUCCACACGAAACAUGGCCCUGCCAGCGGGUAUAAAGUUGGCACAUGAAUUAAGAACUCUGUCGAUUAAGAAACAUGGUCCUGUCACGGGUAUAAUAGUGACCUUAGCACGAAUGUCUAUGAGCAAUGUUUUGAAACAUGACAUGA